GUCGGAACGUACCGAGGAAUGGGGGAUAACGCAGCGAAAGUUGUGCUAAUACCGCAUACGCCCUGAGGGGGAAAGUGGGGGAUCGCAAGACCUCACGUUAUUCGAGCGGCCGACGUCUGAUUAGCUAGUUGGUGGGGUAAUGGCUCACCAAGGCGACGAUCAGUAGCGGGUCUGAGGGGAUGAUCCGCCACACUGGGACUGAGACACGGCCCAGACUCCUACGGGAGGCAGCAGUGGGGAAUUUUGGACAAUGGGGGCAACCCUGAUCCAGCCAUUCCGCGUGAGUGAAGAAGGCCUUCGGGUUGUAAAGCUCUUUCAGCAGGAACGAAACGGUAGGGGCUAAUACCCUCUGCUAAUGACGGUACCUGCAGAAGAAGCACCGGCUAACUACGUGCCAGCAGCCGCGGUAAUACGUAGGGUGCGAGCGUUAAUCGGAAUUACUGGGCGUAAAGCGUGCGCAGGUGGUUGUUAAGCAAGACGUGAAAUCCCCGGGCUUAACCUGGGAAUGGCGUUUUGAACUGGCAGUCUAGAGUGUGUCAGAGGGGGGUGGAAUUCCACGUGUAGCAGUGAAAUGCGUAGAGAUGUGGAGGAACACCAAUGGCGAAGGCAGCCCCCUGGGAUAACACUGACGCUCAUGUACGAAAGCGUGGGUAGCAAACAGGAUUAGAUACCCUGGUAGUCCACGCCCUAAACGAUGUCAACUGGUUGUUGGGGGAGUGAAAUCCCUUAGUAACGAAGCUAACGCGUGAAGUUGACCGCCUGGGGAGUACGGUCGCAAGAUUAAAACUCAAAGGAAUUGACGGGGACCCGCACAAGCGGUGGAUGAUGUGGAUUAAUUCGAUGCAACGCGAAAAACCUUACCUACCCUUGACAUGUCCAGAAUCCUGCAGAGAUGCGGGAGUGCCCGAAAGGGAAUUGGAACACAGGUGCUGCAUGGCUGUCGUCAGCUCGUGUCGUGAGAUGUUGGGUUAAGUCCCGCAACGAGCGCAACCCUUAUCAUUAGUUGCUACGCAAGGGCACUCUAAUGAGACUGCCGGUGACAAACCGGAGGAAGGUGGGGAUGACGUCAAGUCCUCAUGGCCCUUAUGGGUAGGGCUUCACACGUCAUACAAUGGUCGGUACAGAGGGUUGCCAAGCCGCGAGGUGGAGCCAAUCCCAGAAAGCCGAUCGUAGUCCGGAUUGUUCUCUGCAACUCGAGAGCAUGAAGUCGGAAUCGCUAGUAAUCGCGGAUCAGCAUGUCGCGGUGAAUACGUUCCCGGGUCUUGUACACACCGCCCGUCACACCAUGGGAGUGGAAUCUGCCAGAAGUAGGUAGCCUAACCGCAAGGAGGGCGCUUACCACGGUGGGUUUCAUGACUG
rnacentral:rRNA from 1 species